UACAGAGGGGGCAAGCGUUGUUCGGAAUUACUGGGCGUAAAGGGCGCGUAGGCGGCCUUCUAAGUCGAACGUGAAAUCCCCGGGCUCAACCCGGGAACUGCGUCCGAUACUGGAAGGCUUGAAUCCGGGAGAGGGAUGUGGAAUUCCCGGUGUAGCGGUGAAAUGCGCAGAUAUCGGGAGGAACACCAAUGGCGAAGGCAGCUCGCUGGGACGUUACUGACGCUGAGACGCGAAAGCGUGGGGAGCAAACAGG
rnacentral:rRNA from 1 species